CGGCGAGUGAAGCGGCAACAGCUCAAAUUUGAAAUCUGGCUCUUUCAGAGUCCGAGUUGUAAUUUGCAGAGGGCGCUUUGGCUUUGGCAGCGGUCCAAGUUCCUUGGAACAGGACGUCACAGAGGGUGAGAAUCCCGUACGUGGUCGCUAGCUAUUGCCGUGUAAAGCCCCUUCGACGAGUCGAGUUGUUUGGGAAUGCAGCUCUAAAUGGGAGGUAAAUUUCUUCUAAAGCUAAAUAUUGGCCAGAGACCGAUAGCGCACAAGUAGAGUGAUCGAAAGAUGAAAAGCACUUUGGAAAGAGAGUCAAACAGCACGUGAAAUUGUUGAAAGGGAAGCGCUUGCAGCCAGACUUGCUUGCAGUUGCUCAUCCGGGCUUUUGCCCGGUGCACUCUUCUGCAGGCAGGCCAGCAUCAGUUUGGGCGGUGGGAUAAAGGUCUCUGUCACGUACCUCUCUUCGGGGAGGCCCUUAUAGGGGAGGCGACAUACCACCAGCCUAGACUGAGGUCCGCGCAUCUGCUAGGAUGCUGGCGUAAUGGCUGUA
rnacentral:rRNA from 1 species